UUUGACCCCUGAGACUCAUUCCUAACCACCAAGUUCCUCUUCAAUGUCUCUCCCUUCUUCUUGCCAGACUCCCAGAUGAAUUCCGUGUCCCUCGUCCAGCAGACUUACCCUUCUCUCUUCCUCUGGCAGGUGGCAGAGAGUUCCUGGAAAUGAAAUCUUCUGGAGAGAAGCAGAUACCCACAAAAUGAAGCUCCUUCUUUGGGCCUGCCUCAUGUGCAUUGUUUUGGCCAAGAAGAGGCAACAUUCUUCCUCCAGUGAAGAGGACCAUGACCACAGACCACCACCACCAGCGAGGCCUUCUGGAUCGGAUCAUGAACCCCCCUUCCAUCCUAGGGCCCCCUGUCCAGCGGUUCCCCCUCCACCUCCACCAGCCCCUGGCCCUCCGGCACCCCCUGCCCCUCCAGCACCC